UACAGGGGGUGCAAACGUUGCUCGGAAUUAUUGGGCGUAAAGCGCACGUAGGCGGUUCGUUAUGUCAGAUGUGAAAGCCCUUGGCUCAACUGAGGAAGUGCAUCUGAAACUGGCGAGCUAGAGUAUGUAAGAGGGUCGCGGAAUUCCCGGUGUAGAGGUGAAAUUCGUAGAUAUCGGGAGGAACACCGGUGGCGAAGGCGGCGACCUGGGACAAUACUGACGCUGAGGUGCGAAAGCGUGGGGAGCGAUCCGG
rnacentral:rRNA from 1 species